GCUCCCGGCAGCUACGCGACCUGUGACCAUGGUGGCUGUGCUGGGCGGCCGGGGCGUGUUGCGCCUGCGGCUGCUGCUCUCAGCGCUGAAGCCCGGGAUCCACGUCCCACGGGCCGGACCCGCGGCCGCGUUCGGAAAUCAGCCUGAGCCUGAGUACCGCUAAGGCUUUAAUCACGGGCCCCGAGAGCCCUAAGUCUUCUCUUUGCUUGCUGAUCUUAAUGUGCAAAAGAAUCACGUUGGGAACUGAAAAUUCAGAAUCCUGGGCCUCACUCCCAGAGGAUCUGAUCUACAUGUGUGGAGAUGCCCAGGAAUCUGCUUUAUUCUCUUUUGUCCUCCCACCUGUCCCCCCAUUUCAGCACCUCGGUAACCUCUGCCAAAGUGGCUGUGAAUGGCGUUCAGCUGCAUUACCAGCAGACUGGAGAGGGAGAUCACGCAGUCCUGCUACUUCCUGGGAUGUUAGGAAGUGGAGAGACUGAUUUUGGACCUCAGCUCAAGAACCUCAAUAAGAAGCUCUUCACGGUGGUCGCCUGGGAUCCUCGAGGCUAUGGACAUUCCAGGCCCCCAGAUCGCGAUUUCCCAGCAGACUUUUUUGAAAGGGAUGCAAAAGAUGCUGUUGAUUUGAUGAAGGCGCUGAAGUUUAAGAAGGUUUCUCUGCUGGGGUGGAGUGAUGGGGGCAUAACCGCACUCAUUGCUGCUGCAAAAUAUCCGUCUUACAUCCACAAGAUGGUGAUCUGGGGUGCCAACGCCUACGUCACUGACGAAGACAGCAUGAUAUAUGAGGGCAUCCGAGAUGUUUCUAAAUGGAGUGAGAGAACAAGAAAGCCUCUAGAAGCCCUCUAUGGGUGUGACUACUUUGCCAGAACCUGUGAAAAGUGGGUGGAUGGCAUAAGACAGUUUAAACGUCUCCCAGAUGAUGGAGUCUCACUCUGUCACCAGGCUGGAAUGCAAUGGCAUGAUCUCAGCUCACUGCAAUCUCUGUCUCCUGGGUUCAAGCGAUUGCUCUGCCUCAGCCUCCCAAGUAGCUGGGACCACAGGCGUGCACCACCACGCAGGCACAUUUUUUUGUAUUUUAGUAGAGACAGGGUUUCACCAUGUUGGCCAGGAUGGCCUUGAUCUCCUGACCUCGUGAUCCGCCCACCUUGGCCCUCCCAAUUGCUGGGAUUACAGGCCUGAGACACCGUGCCCAGCCUCCUAUUCUUUAUCUGAAAAAUUAACAAGAUUUCCAGUUAAAGUAAGAAUUGACAUCUUUAAGAGAAAUUCUGAAUUAUAGUUUAUUUUCAUACAACUAUUUAUGUUUAUAAUCUCAUUUUUUUUUAAUUGCUGAGAAAAUAGAGUAGCUAAGAUCUAAUCUUGGAGUGCACUGUUACAAAAUGGUUGUGAUUGAAGGACCAAUUUGAUCUAUUAGGUAAUCAUUUCCUGCAUGAAUCAUCUGCCAAAACUUUCACAAUGAAAAGGACAUUUGGAAAUGUUACGCUUCUGGUUUGAGUUGAAAACAGCAAAUAUAUCAAAUGUAUGCCUUAUAAUGUUUCUGUUCAGAUGCAGCAUCCACCCAUGGAGACAGGCCCUGGAAAUCUCUGCUCUUAAAACAAAAACAUGCCAUGAAACAAUGUUUGAGACAGUUCUCCAUUAAAGAGGGCACAUUUGUAAAAUGUAAACUUUGAUGUUUUGUUGAAGAGAGUAGUGAAAAGACAGGAAGAUUUAAAGGUGGAAAUAGGGUUAAAUCAGCAAUUCAAAAAUACGUUCAUGAUACAGAGGCUGUAGCAGUGUAUAAACUGUCUCACAGCGAGACCCUUCAUGAUGUGUCCCCCUUCUGUGCUGACUCAUUUGGUAGGAGCCCUUUUUUCCUACUGUCCUCUCAGGUUUAUGGAUGCUUGGCAUAGUGUAGGGAUUCAUUGCAUUGCACGGCUCUGGAGUGCGAUGGGCCUGAGUGUGAGUUCUGCCUGUGCCCCCGGCUUGCUGUUAGAAUGGAUCUGGGCAGGUAACUUAGCUUCUUGAAGCUUUGGUUUCCUAUCUGUGACCUCGAAAAGCUGUUGUUGCGGGGAUUAAAUGAGGUGUUACCUAUUCAGCUUUGGUGCAGGAUCAAAGACAGAGUGUCUAAUGAAAGAUACGAAAUUGUUUAAACAGUUGCUGGCACAAAGUGAGCACUCAGGCAUAUUGACUUUGAUCAUCACGUGAUGAUGCAGUUGGCCGGUGUGUGUCAUCUCGGGACAGGAGAGGGAAGUGUCAGAGACCUGGAGGAGUAUUUCCCUAGUCAACGGGCCCGCUUCUCACUUAGCAGGCAGCGACUUCCCACUGAAGAGGAGGGAAAGGCCUGGGGCCCGUGCCGGGCAGGGGAGCACUGCACCGUCGGGGCAGCUCCCAGCCUUCUCAGAGCUGCGGUGCCUUCCUCUUGACACGCACGGAGAGGGAAUGGAGAAGGAAAGAGCCAGCUUAGGGAUGCCGGGAACCGCAGACGCAACUCUCUUUUUAGCCCCACAACAGCCCCGGGGAACUGUGAUUGUUCCUGUUUGUGGCUGAAGCUCCCAGUGGUUAAGGAGCCACCACAGCCUCACAGAGGCAGGAAACUGCAGUACAGGGACUAGGGCCCAGGCUGUCCAUCAUUGCCUCAGGAAAGUUCUCAUAAAUGGGGGUAAGUCCGUACAGUCUCUCCAAAGUAUGUUAGUCAGGAGUGUCACAGACGCAUCAGCGAUAAGGAGAAGCUG